UUAAAAGACAGGUGGUGACCUCCAGGCACAAGGCAGGAGAGCAGAGGAGCACGUGUGAACCCCAUGUCUAUGCGACCCGUAGAUACAGUUCCCUCUGCACUACGCGCCUUGAGUUUCUAAGAACCCAGCCCUCAGGCCGGGGCCGCUGGCAUCCCUGGUCGUGGCCGGCUGCGGAAACAUGAGCUCACUUUCCAAAUAUAGUUGAGCGGAGCAAGAGGACAGAUGGGAGCCCAAGGCCACAGUCGCCUCAAAGUGACCACGGACUGAGCAGUGUUUCAUGAAUAGACAAGGAAGGCCAACCUCCACUCCCCCAGAAAAGAAGAAACGCUCACCGCAAGUCCAUCUCCUUUCUGGAGUCUUCCGACUAACCAAGGAUUGGAAAGAAAAGUUUCAUGACUCAGCCUAUAACCCUUCUGGACACCUAUACACACUGGCAACAAUGUGCCUGAGGAAGGCUGACCUUUACCACCGGACAGUGUCGUCUCCUGUGACAUGUUUUCCAGUCAAACCGAAGUCCACCGCAGUUUGCAGCUACUUGGAGCUCAUAUUGGAUCUGAUGAAAUGGGAAUCUACAGGAUCUACAUAUCUGAGAUAGACCAAGACUCACAUCCACGGACACACUCAGCCAACCAGAGGACCUGCGGAACUCUGACAGAACAUUGUCCUCUCUGACAGAACAAAGAUGCCAAAAAUCUGGUAGGAGAAAGGUAAAAAGGAAGACGAAAAGGCAAAACAGUGCAGGACUGGUCCCGUGGGGAGGGAGCGGCAAAGGAGGACUGGCGCUCAUUCGCUGGGUCUCCCCCUCUCCAAUAGAGAGGCCAGCGAGACAGAGGGGGAGACUCCGAGGCUCGGAUCUGUACAGAGCAGCCCUUGACUGACAGAACUAAGUUAAACAGGCACAGAGGGUCCCUGCAACACCCAGCCUGAGACCUGAGCCGGGAGCUGGGGCUGCGAAAGGCUGCCUGAGCUGGGUGGAGGACGAGGACAGCUGCACUGAGGCAGCCCCAGGGGACUGCAGGGUGCUGCGCAACGUGGAUGAGUGGGUGCACAGGACAGAACAACCUGGGUCCUCCAUAAAACAGCACGGCUGAUGUGCCCUGGGGGGAAGAGUGCAUACCCCCAUCUCUGAAAACCCACGGAAGGUUUUCAGCAAGGAGAGGCAGGGCUCAGGUGCAGCUGCCAUAUCCUCCGGCGCUUGGCACCCAGGUGGGGGCGGGGGGCGAAACCUGAAUCCACGCCUGGGGGCUCGGCACCCUCAGAGGCCAGACAGUGACUUGUUUGCAGCCCAAGUCAGGAUCCUUCCGCCCUGGUGCCUCGCAAAGUUCGCACUGCCCGAACAA
rnacentral:lncRNA from 1 species